GACGAACGCUGGCGGCGUGCUUAACACAUGCAAGUCGAACGAAGUGGCGAACGGGUGAGUAAUACGUGGGUAACCUGCCCUCCUUUUUGGGAUAAGCCUUGGAAACGGGGUCCAAUACCGAAUAAAGGGGGGUGGGGUCGCGGCCUAUCAGCUUGUUGGGGGGGUGAUGGCCUACCAAGGCGGUGACGGGUAGCCGGCCGGAGAGGUGGACGGGCAACGUUGUGAGUGAGAUACGGCCCAGAGUCCUACGGGAGGGAGCAGUGGGGGAUAUUGCGCAAGGGGGGAGAGGCUGAUGCGGCGACGCCGCGUGGGGGAUGGAGGCUUUCGGGUUGUAAACCUCUUACGCUAUCGAGCGGGUAGGUGGAGAAGAAGCGCCGGCUAACUACGUGCCAGCAGCCGCGGUAAUAC
rnacentral:rRNA from 1 species